AUCAAAUUUGACAAAGUAUAAAUCAUCGUAAGGUUCGAUAGGGGAUAGAGAUAUACCUCUAUGCUUUGCGUGAAUCGUUAAAUACUCAUAAAACUACAUGCAUUCUUAUAUAUAUGCAUCCGUUAUAUAGAUAUAGGCUGGUGAUAUAUAAAAAUAUGUUCAAUAUCGCUCGAGAGAGUGUGUUGGAUAGAAUUAGGAGUAUUGAUUCUUCAAUAAUCGAAUCGUGUUGUCAUAUUGUGAAAUUAGGGUUUUAGGUGAUCUUUACAAAGGANUAUACAUUAAUUGCUUCCAUAAUUAAGUGCACGUAAUUAUGUGAUGUUUAGUGAUUUAUUUCUUGCAUUUGAGAAAAGGGAAUCAAAUUUGACAAAGUAUAAAUCAUCGUAAGGUUCGAUAGGGGAUAGAGAUAUACCUCUAUGCUUUGCGUGAAUCGUUAAAUACUCAUAAAACUACAUGCAUUCUUAUAUAUAUGCAUCCGUUAUAUAGAUAUAGGCUGGUGAUAUAUAAAAAUAUGUUCAAUAUCGCUCGAGAGAGUGUGUUGGAUAGAAUUAGGAGUAUUGAUUCUUCAAUAAUCGAAUCGUGUUGUCAUAUUGUGAAAUUAGGGUUUUAGGUGAUCUUUACAAAGGAAUUCAUGACCCCAGUGCAUUUAAAUUUCAUUGAGUAAAAUCAACUUGCGUUCCAAUCAUCAUAUUGCAUUUAAAUUCAUUUAGAUACAUCGUUUUGCGUUUUUAAUUCAUUCAACAAUCAUUUUAGUGAAAUUAGGUUUUCCAUAAUUAAGGUUUCGAUAAAUUAGGUUUUUCUGAGGUUAAAACUUCAACUUUGAUAAAUUCGUUUCGGUUAAGGCUAAGGUAGAUAAAGUUGAACUACUUGAUCUCUGAGGGACGAUAUUUGGAACUCAAUAUUCCACUUUAUUACUUGUUAACGAACUAUACACUUGCGGUUGUUUAAAUAGAAAAAAAUAAUUUCAUGAACAAGUUUUUUGGCGCUGAUGCUGGGGAUCGAGUAUUUGUUUAAUUUUAUAUACAUUACCACUAAUUCGAACAUCAAUAUUUGCAAUUUCUAUUAUUUUAUUUUAUUUUUAUUUGCUUUUUAAUUGCUUCAUUUUAGUACCUAAGCACUCCUAUUAAUUCUUCUCGCAGAUUUGCAUGUUAAGGUCUAUUGAAGGAGAUUUGAUCCCAACCAAUCCAAAAAUUGAACGAACUUUACAUCGAAUGCAGCGAGAAAAUAGAGAGGCAUAGCAACAAAUGUCUAAUGUACAAAGCAAUCCAAUCUUUCAAGCCUACGAAGAAGGGACAACGGAUAAAGGAAAUAUGCUUGUAGGAUAUUUCAUAGCCCCUAAGAUAAUUCAAAGUUAGUCGAGCAUCAUGUAUCCACUGUUUGGGCAGCCUAACUUCCAAUUGAAGACCAAUGUAAUACAACUAUUUCAAAAUGGACAUCAAUUCUAUGGAAGAACUGAAGAGAAUCCACAUACGCAUGUCUCUCGCUUUUUGAAGAUGUGCCAAUACUUCAGAUAUCAAGGAAUCUCAGACGAUGCAAUCAGAUUAAGGUUGUUCCCACAUACACUACGCGACAAGGCAAUUGAAUGGCCAGAUUUUCAACCAAUCGCAAGUAUCACUACAUGAAAUGAUCUAGCACAGAAAUUCUGCACCAAGUUCUUCUCACCUGCUAAGAUUGCAAAGCUCAAGCAUGACAUAUCUGUUUUUCAUCAAGGUGACUCAGAGAACUUUGAUGAAGCCUGGAACAGGUUUAAGAAUAUGCUGCGAAAGUGUCCACAUCAUAGAAUCAGUAUGGAACUCCAGGUUCAAUACUUUUAUGCAGGAUGCUUCCAACCCUCAAGAGCAUGGUCGACUCGUUAUCAAACGGAUCAUUGUCCACAAAGAUAAUUGAUGAAGCACUGAAACUUUUUUAGACUAUAGCUACUACAUCAGCUAUGUGGACAUUGAAAUGGUUAUGUUCGCCUGUUUCAUAACAAGCAGUCCGAAGAUUCUGUCAUAUGCGCAUUUUUCCUUUAUGAUGCUGAAAUCCUCACUUCCAUGAUAUGCAUGGGGCUCAUAUCCUAUUUUCACUAGCAUAGUAGCCUGUCCAAGAGGAAUUGUGCCGCCUCUGGUGAAGUAGUGAGGCUCCGAUACAAGAAUCUAGGGAUUAUAUUUUUGAAUUCUAUCAAAAGCUUGUUCAUAUAAAACAUUCAAUGGACUUUCAUUGUCUGAAGCAUACGGUGAAAACAUUCUUCAGCUAUUAUUGUGGAUGACUACUACCUCAUCUCCGGGACUUGAAGUUUCACCCCUGGGUUCUGUAGAUUUAAUUGAAUAGGUUAUAUAUUUUGAAUUCCCUGACGUCCCGAAGUUUUCUAAAGCUAUGCCUCGUCUGGUAGGCUUAUCUUUCAGGUUUCUUAUUUUCGUGUUCAGAGCAGCAUGUUCUGCUACUAAAGCUUUCAGGUUUACUCCAAUUUCCUGUAGAGUGUUUGCUGUCAACUUCUUCUUUCGUGGAUGUCAGCGUCGAAUGAGGGAUAGAUCCUUUUCCAGCUUCACUGUAAAUUCCUCUCGCUGCUAUUUUGAAUUACAAUGCUGCUGAAUGGAUCACAGCUUAUCUCUUUACUCUCGAUCUCCAAUGUUUUCACUUCUCCUGGAUUUACUUCUGCUUGAUUCAUUUUUUGCAAAUUUCAGUAAUUUCUCAACUUCAACAGACAGAUUUCAUGGUUUUCUUUGUUCUGUUUUUCACAGACAACAUCAAUUUGUUGACUACAAAAUUAUAAUCAACAAAUUCCUCUCACCUA
rnacentral:lncRNA from 1 species